AGACCUCUCCUUAAUUUUCUGGUAGUCCUGAACUCACCCGCUGGGUUUAUGAUAUCAAGUGUUUGAUGGUGUUAAAUGACAACCUCCCAUCACUGCUGUGUUGCCAGGGAUCACAGUGACCUCUGGUGAUCAGAGGAAAAACUGCAGGAAGGUAAAGCCGGAAGACAGCCUCUACUCUACAUUCACACACAUUCAGAGACAGACAUUUUAAGAGGUUUUUUGAGGACCAGUGGAGAUGAGAGAUGAGGACUAAGCCAUAAUUCCUUUGGAGGAGAAGAGGAACGACUCGUUAAAGAGCUUCCGACUGGGUUUUAACCAUCCAGGAGACCACACUAACUCCUAUAUUAAACCCUCUGUCUCAGCUGCCUGUUAGUUUUAGAAUAGAUGUUAAUAUUGCUUUAUUGAUUUUUGAAGGAUUACAUCGCUUUGCAAGCGAAUAUGUCAGACAUGUUUUGAAGACACAUAACCGGUUAACCUCUAAGGGCCAAAAUGUUUUGGUGACAUUUCUUUAAGACACUAUGGUCUUGUCCUUUCGAACAGCUUCCAGAAGGCUUGAAGGUUCUUAAGACAGUAUUUCCUUCAUUCAUAUUUGCCUUUGUUUCUUUCUAAUUUUGUGAUUUUGUGAUAAAUCUUUGUCUAAUUGCUGCACCUCCUAACAGACCUGUUGUUAAGCUCUGCUGUUGUUUCUCUUCAGCUGCUGAUCCUCAACACAGUGUUAUAUUGGAUAUUCAUCAUGUUGAUAAUAUAGUCUCUGAAAUGUCUUCUAAACCAUUUUAGAUGCUGGAUGUCAUUAAUAUUAUUUACAUAAAGAUACAGUCAUCUAUUUUAGGCCACUGGUUCUAAAAGUGGCGCUGUCGCCUGAAAAUUGUGUACCAUGUCACAAGCCUGUUGAUUUGUAUCCUGUGUCGUAUGUCCAAUCAAAACCACUCAUAUUUAAACUUGGAAUAAUUGUAUGAUAGUAAUUCUACAUUUGCACAUAUAAACAACAUUUUACACACCCACCCAAAACGUGAGGUUUAAGAAAGGACUUUGUUCAUUGCAAAAGUCCCGGACCGGAUAUUGGCUUGGUCUUCGGGUCCAUGGUUAUUUCAUGUCCAGUUAUAACUGAGUCUAUUUCUUAAUACUUCUAGUUUUUAAUAUUUGUUAACCAUUCAGAAAUAUAUUCCCUGUAAUAAAUGCUCUGUAUUAAUAAAGUUUUGGUCCAUUUGAUCCACUCAAUAAAUAUUACAUAGAGAC